AGUGAACGCUGGCGGCGUGCUUAACACAUGCAAGUCGAACGGUAACAGGUCUUUCGGGAUGCUGACGAGUGGCGAACGGGUGAGUAAUGUAUAGUUAAUUUGCCUCUUAGAAAGGGAUAGCCACUGGAAACGGUGAUUAAUACCUUAUACUCCUUAUGUAGUAAAUAUGUAAGGGAAAUGCUUUAUUGUGCUAAGAGAUAAGACUAUAUGGUAUCAGGUAGUUGGUAGGGUAAGAGCCUACCAAGCCAAUGACGCCUAGCUGGUCUGAGAGGAUGAUCAGCCACACUGGAACUGAGACACGGUCCAGACUCCUACGGGAGGCAGCAGUGGGGAAUAUUGCACAAUGGAGGAAACUCUGAUGCAGCAACGCCGCGUGGAGGAUGACGCAUUUCGGUGUGUAAACUCCUUUUAUAUAGGAAGAUAAUGACGGUACUAUAUGAAUAAGCACCGGCUAACUCCGUGCCAGCAGCCGCGGUAAUGUCGUACG
rnacentral:rRNA from 1 species